AUCUAGCCUAAGGAAUUUGCUAUCCGCGCUUUUUUUUCGAUCGUGUACCUUAGUACACUGAACACUUACAUAAUCUUGAAUCUUGAAAGUAGAGUCUCUUUUUCAAUCAACUGGCAUACCUUGAACCUAGCCCGAAAUUCUUUCUUUACUUUAUCUUAUCAAAUUUCUAGUUUGUGAUCGAGGGCGGCCAAAUAUGAGAUAGGUUGCAGCUAUAGUCAGAACUGAACCUGGCUAAUUUCGUAAUGUUGACCCCACGGAGCGGUAGCGAAGGAGACAGCAAAUGGAUGGAAAUUCUCCACUUUAUGGCUGCCGCCGCUUCUAUCUCCGGCGCUCUGAAUAUCGGGUAUGAUUGUUACUUUCUUGCCUUGCCCCACUCCCACCCACCUCUUCCGAAAAGACAACCUCGAUCAUUCAUUACAUAUGAUAUAUCGAGAGUUCAAGACCAUAACGUAAUUCAUUUAGAGAAUGCCGAUGAGAAAGUAGAUCUGGUUCCGAGA
rnacentral:lncRNA from 1 species